rnacentral:ncRNA from 1 species
AAUAAAAAUAUUGCUGCAGAAAACGGGAAUCGGGUGAAAAUCCUGAACGGCCCCGCCACUGUAAGCCGCGACGAGAUCGCAUUAUGCCACUGGAAUUUUCGGGAAGGCGCGAUGGAGGAUGAACGGCAAGCCAGGAUACCAUUCUGCACAAAGUUGCGGCA